rnacentral:rRNA from 1 species
GACGAACGCUGGCGGCGUGCCUAAUACAUGCAAGUCGAGCGCAGGAAAUCGACGGAACCCUUCGGGGGGAAGUCGACGGAAUGAGCGGCGGACGGGUGAGUAACACGUAAAGAACCUGCCCUCAGGUCUGGGAUAACCACGAGAAAUCGGGGCUAAUACCGGAUGGGUCAUCGGACCGCAUGGUCCGAGGAUGAAAGGCGCUUCGGCGUCGCCUGGGGAUGGCUUUGCGGUGCAUUAGCUAGUUGGUGGGGUAAUGGCCCACCAAGGCGACGAUGAAUAGCCGGGCGGAGAGGGUGCUCGGCCACACUGGGACUGAGACACGGCCCAGACUCCUACGGGAGGCAGCAGUAGGGAAUCUUCCACAAUGGACGAAAGUCUGAUGGAGCAACGCCGCGUGAACGAUGAAGGCCUUCGGGUCGUAAAGUUCUGUUGUAAGGGAAGAACAAGUGCCGCAGGCAAUGGCGGCACCUUGACGGUACCUUGCGAGAAAGCCACGGCUAACUACGUGCCAGCCGCCGCGGUAA